AUUAACGAUCACUAACACCGGUACUGUUACCAGCUAUAUACAAACCCUCUUCCCAUAACAAAUUUUUUCUUACGGUAAUACUGGCAUCAAAAUAUUUUGAGAGAGAGAGAGAGAGAGAGAGAGAGAGAGAGAGAACGAACAAUUACUUGUUUUGUGUUGAAUGACUCUGCCUGAGAGUUCCCCUCCAGCAGGCAAGUUCCUGAGAUGAAAUGCAUGAGUUCUUAUGGAGACAUCACCAUCUCUCGGGGCUUCUGGGAAUAGAAACCCUGACUAAGACAAUUCCCCAAGCUGAAACUUAAAAGAGACAGCACCUGCUUCACCAACUACUCUUUGCUUUCCUUGCCUGAUCAGCAAAAUGGCUCAGCAGGGAAAGCACUUGCCACGAAACUUGACAACUAGAAUUUGAUCCCUGGGAUCCACGUGGCAGAAGGAGAGAAACAAUUCCCACACGUUGCCCUUUGACCCGCUUCUUCCAAGCAAUGUGGAGACAGCUGGAGAGAAAACUGGCUCCAUCCAACUUCACAGUUCUGUAAAGAGUCAGAGUCUACAGAGGUGACCGUCCACAAAGGCAGUGCUCCCAGAUGCAGACACUGAUUCAGCCUCACAGCUCACAGUUCAUUGUGAAGGGGAGUCGGGGGCAAGAAGAGCUCAAGGCAGGAAGUGAUGGAGAGGCCAUGAAGAAGUAUGGCUUCUUGGCUUGCUCCCCAUGAAUCCAUCAGCCUUCUCCUCCCCCUCCCCAUCCU